rnacentral:ncRNA from 2 species
UUUUAGAGCUGGAGGAGCCUGUAAAGACAGGCUGAGAAUGUGAUGUUAUCGCUUACUCCCACCACCUGAUUUGGUUAAUGCCAACGUAGGGAAGCUUGCUGUUUGUGUU